rnacentral:rRNA from 1 species
GAACGCUAGCGGCAGGCUUAAUACAUGCAAGUCGAGGGGUAGCAUGAUUGUAGCAAUACAAUUGAUGACGACCGGCAAACGGGUGCGGAACACGUACACAACCUUCCUACAAGUGGGAAUAGCCCAGAGAAUUUGGAUUAAUACCCCGUAACAUAGCGAUGUGGCAUCACAUUGCUUAUUAUAGCUUCGGCGCUUGUUGAUGGGUGUGCGGCUGAUUAGAUAGUUGGCGGGUAACGGCCCACCAAGUCUACGAUCAGUAGCUGAUGUGAGAGCAUGAUCAGCCACACGGGCACUGAGACACGGGCCCGACUCCUACGGGAGGCAGCAGUAAGGAAUAUUGGACAAUGGACGCAAGUCUGAUCCAGCCAUGCCGCGUGAAGGAUUAAGGUCCUCUGGAUUGUAAACUUCUUUUAUAAGGGACGAAAAAAGGUCUUUCUAGAUCGUCUGACGGUACCUUAUGAAUAAGCACCGGCUAACUCCGUG